rnacentral:rRNA from 1 species
UCUGAAUCUGCGUACGGCUCCGCACACCAGUUGUAAACCAAAGCAAGCAAGCCCGGUCUCGACGCCUUUCGGGGUUAGGGGCCGGGCUACAAGGAUAACCCUGGUAAUUCUGAGGCUAAUACUUGACACAGAACCUGCCGACUGGGUCUCGCGGCUCGGGAAGCAGGGGAUGUGCGACUAUCGGGCCAACAAAACCGGAAAGAGCGCACGUUCAGACCACUUAAAAAGGCCACGGGUCCUUCGGGAUCCGGGGCUGUGGCUCUUGCAGCGUGCUUCUGACCUAUCAACUAGACGGCAGCCUAAGGGACAUGCUUUGGUG